rnacentral:rRNA from 1 species
GACGAACGCUGGCGGCGUGCUUAACACAUGCAAGUCGAACGGAAAGGCCCUGCUUUUGUGGGGUGCUCGAGUGGCGAACGGGUGAGUAACACGUGAGUAACCUGCCCUUGACUUUGGGAUAACUUCAGGAAACUGGUGCUAAUACCGGAUAGGAGCUCCUGCUGCAUGGUGGGGGUUGGAAAGUUUCGGCGGUUGGGGAUAGACUCGCGGGUUAUCAGCUUGUUGGUGGGGUAGUGGCUUACCAAGGCUUUGACGGGUAGCCGGCCUGAGAGGGUGACCGGCCACAUUGGGACUGAGAUACGGCCCAGACUCCUACGGGAGGCAGCAGUGGGGAAUAUUGCACAAUGGGCGGAAGCCUGAUGCAGCAACGCCGCGUGCGGGAUGACGGCCUUCGGGUUGGAAACCGCUUUCGCCUGUGACGAAGCGUGAGUGACGGUAAUGGGUAAAGAAGCACCGGCUAACUACGUG